AACGAACGCUGGCGGCAGGCCUAACACAUGCAAGUCGAGCGAACCCUUCGGGGUUAGCGGCGGACGGGUUAGUAACGCGUGGGAAUAUACCCUUUGGUACGGAAUAGCCUCGGGAAACUGAGAGUAAUACCGUAUGUGCCCUUCGGGGAAAGAUUUAUCGCCAAAGGAUUAGCCCGCGUUGGAUUAGGUAGUUGGUGGGGUAAUGGCCUACCAAGCCUACGAUCCAUAGCUGGUUUGAGAGGAUGAUCAGCAACACUGGGACUGAGACACGGCCCAGACUCCUACGGGAGGCAGCAGUGGGGGAAUCUUAGACAAUGGGCGCAAGCCUGAUCUAGCCAUGCCGCGUGGACGAUGAAGGCCUUAGGGUUGUAAAGUCCUUUCAGAUGGGAAGAUAAUGACGGUACCAUCAGAAGAAGCCCCGGCUAACUACCGUG
rnacentral:rRNA from 1 species